rnacentral:rRNA from 1 species
AACGAACGCUGGCGGCAGGCUUAACACAUGCAAGUCGAACGCCCCGCAAGGGGAGUGGCAGACGGGUGAGUAACGCGUGGGAAUCUACCCAUCCCUACGGAAUAACGCAUGGAAACGUGUGCUAAUACCGUAUACGCCCUACGGGGGAAGAUUUAUCGGGGAUGGAUGAGGCCGCGUUGGAUUAGCUAGUUGGUGGGGUAAAGGCCUACCAAGGCGACGAUCCAUAGCUGGUCUGAGAGGAUGAUCAGCCACAUUGGGACUGAGACACGGCCCAAACUCCUACGGGAGGCAGCAGUGGGGAAUAUUGGACAAUGGGCGCAAGCCUGAUCCAGCCAUGCCGCGUGAGUGAUGAAGGCCUUAGGGUUGUAAAGCUCUUUCACCGGAGAAGAUAAUGACGGUAUCCGGAGAAGAAGCCCCGGCUAACUUCGUG